GGGGAAUAUUGCACAAUGGGCGAAAGCCUGAUGCAGCAACGCCGCGUGAGUGAUGAAGGUCUUCGGAUUGUAAAGCUCUGUCUUUUGGGACGAUAAUGACGGUACCAAAGGAGGAAGCCACGGCUAACUACGUGCCAGCAGCCGCGGUAAUACGUAGGUGGCGAGCGUUGUCCGGAUUUACUGGGCGUAAAGGGUGCGUAGGCGGAUGUUUAAGUGAGAUGUGAAAUACCCGGGCUUAACUUGGGUGCUGCAUUUCAAACUGGAUAUCUAGAGUGCAGGAGAGGAGAAUGGAAUUCCUAGUGUAGCGGUGAAAUGCGUAGAGAUUAGGAAGAACACCAGUGGCGAAGGCGACUCUCUGGACUGUAACUGACGCUGAGGCACGAAAGCGUGGGUAGCAAACAGGAUUAGAUACCCUGGUAGUCCACGCCGUAAACGAUGAGUACUAGGUGUAGGAGGUAUCGACCCCUUCUGUGCCGCAGUAAACACAUUAAGUACUCCGCCUGGGGAAGUACGAUCGCAA
rnacentral:rRNA from 1 species